rnacentral:rRNA from 1 species
GACGAACGCUGGCGGCGCGCCUAACACAUGCAAGUCGAACGAGAGAGAGGGAGCUUGCUUCCUUGAUCGAGUGGCGAACGGGUGAGUAACGCGUGAGGAACCUGCCUCAAAGAGGGGGACAACAGUUGGAAACGACUGCUAAUACCGCAUAAGCCCACGGCUCGGCAUCGAGCAGAGGGAAAAGGAGCAAUCCGCUUUGAGAUGGCCUCGCGUCCGAUUAGCUAGUUGGUGAGGUAAUGGCCCACCAAGGCGACGAUCGGUAGCCGGACUGAGAGGUUGAACGGCCACAUUGGGACUGAGACACGGCCCAGACUCCUACGGGAGGCAGCAGUGGGGAAUAUUGCACAAUGGGGGAAACCCUGAUGCAGCGACGCCGCGUGGAGGAAGAAGGUCUUCGGAUUGUAAACUCCUGUUGUUGAGGAAGAUAAUGACGGUACUCAACAAGGAAGUGACGGCUAACUACGUGCCAGCAGCCGCGGUAAAAC